UAAUGGGUACAUUGUAUAAGUGGAAGCUAUAAUUUUCAACAAAAAGAUGGUACAAAUGUAAAAGUAAAAAGCACAAACUAUACAAAAGCAAAAUCUAUGGCCAAGUGAUUUAAAAGCAUUACUUGUACAUUCCUUUAAACAUUUGUUGUUAGAAGCAAAAGAGUAAUUUAUCCUGCUAAAUUUGGCACCAUUUGUAAUUAUAAAAAUUUUGAUUAAUACUAUUUAUAUUAAUUUCUUUACCUUCAUUUUUUCUCCUUAAGGAGUUGAUUGUUUUUGGAAAUGUUUUUUUCCUUGCACAUAAGACAGUUUCAUACCAUUCUUAUAGAAUCAUAUUAGGUGGGUGUUUGCACAUACUAAAUUUAUAAAGCUAGUUUUGAUUAAAGCUCUAUGUGAGAUAUAUAUACAUACACAAGUCUUCUAUAAUAAGAGUCGUUGGUGAAUUUUGAAUUCUAUUUUGUUAGGAAUUAAGGUUGAAAUCAACAUGAAAGAAUCUCAAUCAUGCAUUAUAAAAUAAAAGUACAUGGGUGUUAAGAAACAAGAGACUUUUAAAGAUUUAAAAUAUAUUUCUGAUAGAAUUUAACUAAGUGGUGUGUAUUUUAAAAUUCACAUUCUUAAACAUAAAUCUAUCCAAGAUAGAAAAUGAAAUAGCUGGACUACUCUUUCUUUAAGAUACUUGAAAAUUUUAAACCACAUUGCAACACUUUAUGGUGCUUUGCGUGUUUGGCAUGACAUACACAGUGGUCCUGGUAUAUAAGUGCUUGGGGGAAAAUACAUAUUUUGUUUACAUUAAAUUUUGAAGUGAUUUAGGCUUUAUUGAAAACAAUACUGGCCUUCCCUCCCCUUCUCUAACAUCCAUUUUCAUUUACGUUAUUUAAAAUAUACAGGCACUGUUUUGGGUACAGAGGAUAUAGCCAAGAGCAAAUUGAUAGUAGUUUACCUCAGAGUAUUAAAAAAAUCAUAAUAAGUCAUGUUAAUCUAAAACUAUAUAAUAGCCUUAGAUUAAAUGUGCAGAUGUCUAAUUAAAGAUUUAAAAUGUAUAGCGUAUGUCCUUAGAACAUUUGAUUUUUAGGUAUACAUUCGGCAAAAACAGUCUGUUAUGGAAAAGAAGGAUUGAUGGGACAUUAACUUCUUCCGAGCUAACAUUGUUUCUGAAGAUUGACCUAUUCUAUAUAAAUUUAAAUUUUUCUAUGUUUUUCUUUUUUUUUUUGCGAUGAGGUUUCGCUCUUGUUGCCCAGGCUGGAGUACAAUGGUGUGAUCUUAGCUCACCGCAACCUCCGCCUCGUGGGUUCAAAUGAUUCUCCUGUCUCAGCCUCCUGAGUAACUGGGGUUACAAGCGCCCACCACUACGCCCAGCUAAUUUUUGGUAUUUUUAGUAGACACAGGGUUUCACCAUGUUGGCCAGGCUGGUCUUCAACUCCUAACCCCAGGUGAUCCGCCCACCUCGGCCUCCCAAAGUGCUGGGAUUACAGGCGUGAGCCACCGUACCCGGCCUCUAUCGUAUAUUAUAAUUGCUUAUUGUUAUAGAAGCUGAAUGUUUUACUUACUACUUUUAAAUUUAUUUGGUCUUCCCAAGGAAAUCAUACAAACGGUAGAGAUUAUGAUAAUCUGAGCAUUCUGUGUGCUUAGUUUGAUUUUUUUAUUUAUAAGCAGUACUAUUUUUAUAGAUGUUUAAAAUUCAUAAAACACUGUAUUCUGAGAGGUAGGUAUUAUUCAAAUGUUAGAAAUUUUUUUUAAAAAAAUGCCCUGAGGCUUAGAAAGGACAAAUGACUGAAAUCACAAUUAGUAAUCUGGUCUUUAGACUUAAAGCCUAGUUAUAUGCUUUUAUUAUAGCUUAGUCAUUAAUUCACACAUUUUCCCUUAUCUUUUUUAUCUUUUAAAGGUGACCAUAAAACUUUAAAUUGUGUGUGUACGUCUAUGUAUGAGGUAUAUGUUACCCUGUUUGUGUUAUUCAAACUACCUAAAAGAUAGGAUGAUUUUUGUUUAAGUGAAUCCCAAACUAGCAGUCUGAGAAAUACAGGAAAGCCUGAUAAUUGACUUACCAGAGUUGGCUUUUUUUUUUUAAGUUACCAUAAUUUAGAUAUAAAGUUGUCAUGUCCUGGAAUUUAAAAAAGAAAUCUCUAGCUGAGAGAUGUUAAUGGUCAGGAGUUGAAAAUGACAAUUGUGCUUUGCUUUUUAUUUUUAUUUUUUGUUUACUUUUGAGUUUUUUGGAGUUUUUUUCCUAUAUUUUUAAUUGAGAAGUAAAAAUUAUAUAUUUAUGGUGUACAACACGAUGUGAUACAUGUAUACCUUGUGGAAUGGCUAAAUCAAGCUGUCUAACAUGUUACCUCACAAACUUUUUUUGUAGCGAGAACACUUAAAAUUUUGUAACAAUUUUCAAGUAUACAGCAUAUUGUUAUUAACUGUAAUCACGUGAUAUACAGUAGAUCUCUUGAACUUAUAUUUACUAACUGCAAUUUCGUGUCCUUUUACAAACAUCUCCCCAUUUCCCCAUCCCCCAGCCUCUGAUAACCAGAAUUUUACUCUCCAUCCCAUGAAGUUGACUUUUUUUGCACUCCGUAAGUGAGAUCAUCUAGAAUUUUGGCAUGUCUUUCUGUGCCUGGCUUAUUUCACUUAACACAGUGGUCCCCUGUGUAGCUGGGACCACAGGCGUGUGCCACUACACCCAGGUUUAUCCAUGUUGUCAGAAAUGACAGGAUUUCCUUUUUUUAAAAGUUGAAUGGUAUUCUCUUAUGUAUAUUUUCCACAUUUGCUUUUUCCAUUCAUCCAUUGAUGGACAGUUAAAUUGAUUCCAUAUCUUGGCUAUUGAGUAAUGCUGCAG
rnacentral:lncRNA from 1 species